UACAGAGGGGGCAAGCGUUGUUCGGAAUUACUGGGCGUAAAGGGCGCGUAGGCGGCCCGCUAAGUCGAACGUGAAAUCCCUGGGCUCAACCCAGGAACUGCGUCCGAUACUGGCAGGCUUGAAUCCGGGAGAGGGAUGUGGAAUUCCAGGUGUAGCGGUGAAAUGCGUAGAUAUCUGGAGGAACACGGGUGGCGAAGGCGGCAUCCUGGACCGGUAUUGACGCUGAUGCGCGAAAGCCAGGGGAGCAAACGGG
rnacentral:rRNA from 1 species